rnacentral:rRNA from 1 species
CUCAGAAUCAACGCUGGCGGCGCGCUUAACACAUGCAAGUCGAACGGGAAAGGGGAGCAAUCCCUGAGUACAGUGGCGUACGGGUGAGUAACACGUGGAUCAUCUACCUCCUGGUGGGGAAUAACCUUGGGAAACCGAGGCUAAUACCGCAUAAGCCCGAAAGGGGAAAGGCGCAAGUCGCCGGGAGAGGAGUCCGCGGCCGAUUAGCUAGUUGGUAGGGUAAAAGCCUACCAAGGCAAAGAUCGGUAGCCGGCCUGAGAGGGCACACGGCCACACUGGCACUGAAACACGGGCCAGACUCCUACGGGAGGCAGCAGUGGGGAAUCUUGCACAGUGGGGGAAACCCUGAUGCAGCGACGCCGCGUGAGCGACGAAGCCCUUCGGGGUGUAAAGCUCUUUCGACAGGAACGAUAAUGACGGUACCUGGAGAAGAAGCUGCGGCUAACUACGUGCCAGCAGCCGCGGUAAUACGUAGGCAGCAAGCGUUGUUCGGAGUUACU